rnacentral:rRNA from 1 species
UGGGGAAUAUUGGGCAAUGGGCGCAAGCCUGACCCAGCAACGCCGCGUGAAGGAAGAAGGCUUUCGGGUUGUAAACUUCUUUUCUGAGGGACGAUAGUGACGGUACCUCAGGAAUAAGCCACGGCUAACUACGUGCCAGCAGCCGCGGUAAUACGUAGGUGGCAAGCGUUAUCCGGAUUUACUGGGUGUAAAGGGCGUGUAGGCGGGAUGGUAAGUCAGAUGUGAAAACUAUGGGCUCAACCCAUAGCCUGCAUUUGAAACUAUCGUUCUUGAGUGUUGGAGAGGCAGGCGGAAUUCCGUGUGUAGCGGUGAAAUGCGUAGAUAUACGGAGGAACACCAGUGGCGAAGGCGGCCUGCUGGACAAUAACUGACGCUGAGGCGCGAAAGCGUGGGGAGCAAACAGG